UUUGGCGUUUUUCUGUUUUCAUGUGCUCUUCUGUGGCUUGUUCUUACAUUAUCAUAAGUAACAUUUAUUUCUUCAAACUGAAAAGCAACUUGUAGAAGUAAAUGCAAGUGGAAGAAAGAGUUUUACAGGGUGAAUUUGAGCUCUCUGCGAUUCACUUGGGCUUCAAUACCAAAGUCAUCACUAUAUGGUUACAUGUGGCUCCCUGAGCAGGCAAGGUUUACCAAAUCCUACCCUGUGAUUGGCUACCCCAGCAGCAUGAUACACAUCAAGAAGAAAGGAGCCUAGAGUUUCAAGACAGGACAAUAUGAUAUCAACAUGGAAACUGAUUGUUGGGUUUAGUAUACAAAAUAGGGAAGCAACAAUGAAAGUACAGUAUGUGCUGAGACUCAAGAGGACAAAGAAUCAAUUGGGACAUUGGAUCCCUUGAAAAGCUGCAUCUCAAGUGUACACGCAGUGACAUUAAUAUGGAGAAAGAAGCAAAGGAAAGCAACGAACUUCUUUUAGAUUUUACAAGACAAAGUUGAUCUCGAUUGAGUUUCUUGCGAAAGAUUGUUAGGACGGAGCUCGUAUUAGUGAUUUCACAACACAAAAUUUUCAAAUUGUCUAUUAUCUGCCAAAUUGCCUCGUACGUUGUUAGUUUUCGAGUAAGUUGUAAACUAUAUUUCAAGUUUGUGGCUUGAAAUUAGGGUAGAAUGUUAGUAUUACCUGGGCUUGUUUUUGCAACCCGAUUUUCAGUCUGGAAGUCCUUGUAUUAAACUCGUUGAAAUAGCUAAGAGUCUAGUAGUCUAGUUCACAAAUUUAGCGACAUCUUUCCAGUUUUCGAGAACGCAUUAAAGUGAUAAAAAGGUUUCGCUUUUAAGAGGGCCAAGAAAAAAAUCGAAAAGUGGAAAAAUUGUACUUAGAAAAAAAAGUCUGCAAUUUUAAAUGGUGUCUGGUUUUGAGUCGAACAUAUACAGAGUCUUGGUGGAGAAAAUCUAGCGCUGCGUAGGAUUUUUCCCAUCAAACGUCACAGUAUAUGCUUGAUUUCUGGCUAGACUCUGUUUAAAGGCGCAGAAUUUUUUUCUUUUUGGCAACCCUACAUAGUCAAAAACUAGUAAAAGAGAGCCUACAUUUUGACUAGUUUCCAGGCCCUUUUAAAACCGCAUUUUUUU
rnacentral:lncRNA from 1 species